GAUGAACGCUGGCGGCGUACCUAAUACAUGCAAGUCGAGCGAACAGACGAGGAGCUUGCUCCUCUGACGUUAGCGGCGGACGGGUGAGUAACACGUGGAUAACCUACCUAUAAGACUGGGAUAACCUCGGGAAACCGGAGCUAAUACCGGAUAAUAUAUUGAACCGCAUGGUUCAAUAGUGAAAGACGGUUUUGCUGUCACUUAUAGAUGGAUCCGCGCCGCAUUAGCUAGUUGGUAAGGUAACGGCUUACCAAGGCAACGAUGCGUAGCCGACCUGAGAGGGUGAUCGGCCACACUGGAACUGAGACACGGUCCAGACUCCUACGGGAGGCAGCAGUAGGGAAUCUUCCGCAAUGGGCGAAAGCUUGACGGAGCAACGCCGCGUGAGUGAUGAAGGUCUUCGGAUCGUAAAACUCUGUUAUUAGGGAAGAACAAAUGUGUAAGUAACUAUGCACGUCUUGACGGUACCUAAUCAGAAAGCCACGGCUAACUACGUG
rnacentral:rRNA from 1 species